CACGACAAAGGCAAACUCUGAGCAAUCGGAGGACGCAAAGCCAACAGUCCCGAAUUACACAGUAUUUUACCGGGAGGCUGGGUUGCCGAAU
rnacentral:ncRNA from 1 species